UAUCCGUGGGUUCACUGCAUCACGCACAAAUCUUUCGCCUUUUACUAAAGAUUUCCGUGCAGAGGACCAAUACGAUCGGAAUUUAACAAUUUAUUUCUGCCUUGUCAUUUGAUGAGGC
rnacentral:snRNA from 1 species